rnacentral:lncRNA from 1 species
CCUUCUCCCUGCAGUUGUCCCUUAAGGAGAUGUUGCAGGAGAUUUAGCCGGUGCUGAUGGUCCAUGAAGAAAUGUGUCACUGCACCUCCUUCUCACUGCACCUGGUUAGCAACAUGCCAAACCACUUCCCAGGGCGGCAAAACAGUGAGGAGCUGCAGGAGGGCUCAGGGCUGUGUAUGAGGGAAGAGCUACACACACUACUCAAGGCCUGCUUCCACAUGAACCACGUCCUAGAGCAGCUUAAGAGCCUGAACCCAUCUGCUGCCUUCAGCAGGGCUGACUAAAGCUGCUUGUUCUUCCCGAGCAUAUUCUCCAAUGACCUGAGAGAACAGUAGGAGUGAAAGAAUGGCUUGGAGAUGAGCCUCAUUGACUGUUUGCCACCUGAGUACAUCUUGCCAGGGUCCCAAGAGGGACCAUUGUGUCUCCAGAGCCAUGACUGGAAGGGCUUUAGUGCCUAAAAGUGCCCAGCAUGAGCAGCUGGAACCCACUUCCUAGAAACUGCAAGAUGCAAGGGGACCUCAUGUACCUCUUUGUAAUUACAGACAAGGACCCGAAGGGCCCCAUCACUGCAUCCACAUGGGACUUUUACUGGAUCCAGCCUACAGCCUAUUGCUCAACCCCAAGCUCACCAGCCUUUGCUUCCUAAGCCAUUCGCCACUGGAGCUGCUCAAGUACCACAGCCUGAACUUCACAAAACACUUUGUCAUGCCAUGAAAGAAAAGUGCCAUGGACUGUGUGCACACAGAGAAUGCCCGCACCUUGAGGCUGAACUAUGAGGAGAACCUUCCUGAACAGUCCCAGGACUGAAACAAGGAGCUGCAGACAAUGAGGGAACUGCUCUGCAAGAACGGCCUGAGUGGCUGCUUCAAGAAAGAACCACAGUGAAAACCCUUGGAUCCAGGGGGUGAUUUACAACAUGUGCAAGGCAGUCAGCUCCAUCAGCUGUACAGCCUUCAACAUUCACUUCACCUUGGACAUCUCACCAGUCCUGAGUAACCAACACAAGGCAGUGCUAAUUAGUGGGCGAGUGAUAGGCAUCGGGCACCCCAAUACCAUCUGGGAAGAAAUGCAUCUGCACUGUGCUUCUUCUCCAGCAGUCAGCUGCCCAUGGUCCUGAGCCUGUCAUGCCAUGCCUGCUACCUCACACUGCUUGUGUUUGAAAAAAACAUCCUGAGAUGGUGCUGCUGGAU